rnacentral:rRNA from 1 species
GACGAACGCUGGCGGCGUGCCUAAUACAUGCAAGUAGAACGCAGUUGCGAACGGGGGAGUAACGCGUAGGUAACUGCCUGGAAGCGGGGGAUAAAUAUUGGAAACGAUAGCUAAUUCCGCAUACUACCAGAUGGCCCUGCGUUGUAUUAGCUAGUUUUUGAGGUAACGGCUCACCACGGCAACGAUACAUAGACUAACUAAGAUGGUGAGCGGCCACACUGGCACUGAGACACGGCCCAGACUACUACGGGAGGAAGCAGGAGGGAAUCGGCGGCAAGGGGGGGAACCCUGACCGAGCAACGCCGCGUGAGUGAAGAAGGUUUUCGGAUCGUAGAGCUCUGUUGUUAAGGAAGCGGUACUUAACCAGAAAGGGACGGCUAACUACGUGCCAGCAGCCGCGGUAAUAC